CCUACGGGAGGCUGCAGUGGGGAAUAUUGGACAAUGGGCGAAAGCCUGAUCCAGCCAUGCCGCGUGUGUGAAGAAGGCCUUCGGGUUGUAAAGCACUUUCAGUGGGGAAGAAAGCCUUGGGGCUAAUACCCUCGAGGAAGGACAUCACCCACAGAAGAAGCACCGGCUAACUCCGUGCCAGCAGCCGCGGUAAUACGGAGGGUGCGAGCGUUAAUCGGAAUUACUGGGCGUAAAGCGCGCGUAGGCGGUCUGAUAAGCCGGUUGUGAAAGCCCCGGGCUCAACCUGGGAACGGCAUCCGGAACUGUCAGGCUAGAGUGCAGGAGAGGAAGGUAGAAUUCCCGGUGUAGCGGUGAAAUGCGUAGAGAUCGGGAGGAAUACCAGUGGCGAAGGCGGCCUUCUGGACUGACACUGACGCUGAGGUGCGAAAGCGUGGGUAGCAAACAGGAUUAGAUACCCCCGUAGUC
rnacentral:rRNA from 1 species